rnacentral:rRNA from 1 species
CUUGAGGGGGGCUGGCCCUAGUACGAGAGGACCGGGCUGGGCGGACCUCUGGUGUGCCGGUUGUCCCGCCAGGGGCAAAAAGCCGGGUAGCCAUGUCCGCACGGGAUAAGCGCUGAAAGCAUCUAAGCGCGAAGCCCUCCCCAAGAUGAGGCCUCCCACCCCCUCAAGGGGGUAAGGCCACGGGAAGACCACCCGUUCGAUAGGCGGCAGGUGUAAGCCGGGCAACCGGCGUAGCUGAGCCGUACUAAUGGCCGAGGGCUUGACCACUACACCACC